rnacentral:misc_RNA from 1 species
UUAGCAGGCCAUUUGGGGAAGGCGGACUUGAAAUCCGGUAAAGAAGAAACUCCUGGCCAUGUUUCUUCAUUUGGAGUACCCAGAAUUCUGAAAAUCUUAAACAACUCAUCGAUCUCAGAAUCUCCAGGGAACAAUGGCUUGUGGUUCACCAUUUCUGCGAAAAUACAGCCAACUGACCACACAUCAACAGGGGUUGAGUAAUGCCGUGAACCAAGUAGGAUUUCUGGUGCCCUGUACCACAG